rnacentral:rRNA from 1 species
UACGGAGGGUGCGAGCGUUGUCCGGAAUCACUGGGCGUAAAGGGCGCGUAGGCGGCUUUUUAAGGGUGCGGUGAAAGCCCGGGGCUUAACCCCGGGUCGGCCGUGCCGACUGAAAAGCUGGAGCACUGUAGAGGCAGGUGGAAUUCCGGGUGUAGCGGUGGAAUGCGUAGAGAUCCGGAAGAACACCAGUGGCGAAGGCGGCCUGCUGGG